rnacentral:lncRNA from 1 species
GGAAAAAAUAUUGAAAAAUUGAAAGACGAUUACGCCGCGAAGACGCCAAAACGAAAACGGUCUAAAAGCGGUGUUCGAGGUUCGGGUAGACCCACCAACGACGCAAGCACAAUGCGCAUGAACGACGAAAGCGAAGAUCUGAAGAACAACGCCGCAUUAGCACUGCGAGAAGUGCAACUGUUAACCUCGGGAGGCGAAAUACGGAAAAAAUGCACAAUAUAUACACGACACCCGUACGACAUCAAAUGUUUUGCUAUAGGACACUAUAGCUCUUUCGAACUGGUUGCAGAAAAAAGAAAAAAGGCUUUGGAAAAAAUCAAAAAACAGCGUGAAACACUCAC